rnacentral:rRNA from 1 species
UAGGGAAUCUUCGGCGAUGGACGAAAGUCUGACCGAGCAACGCCGCGUGAGUGAAGAAGGUUUUCGGAUCGUAAAACUCUGUUGUUAGAGAAGAACAAGGACGUUAGUAACUGAACGUCCCCUGACGGUAUCUAACCAGAAAGCCACGGCUAACUACGUGCCAGCAGCCGCGGUAAUACGUAGGUGGCAAGCUUUGUCCGGAUUUAUUGGGCGUAAAGCGAGCGCAGGCGGUUUCUUAAGUCUGAUGUGAAAGCCCCCGGCUCAACCGGGGAGGGUCAUUGGAAACUGGGAGACUUGAGUGCAGAAGAGGAGAGUGUAAUUCCAUGUGUAGCGGUGAAAUGCAUAGAUAUAUGGAGGAACACCAGUGGCGAAGGCGGCUCUCUGGUCUGUAACUGACGCUGAGGCUCGAAAGCGUGGGGAGCAAACAGG